UACGUAGGGGGCAAGCGUUGUCCGGAUUUACUGGGCGUAAAGAGCGCGCAGGCGGUCGUGCAAGUCGCGUGUGAAAGCCCCCGGCUCAACUGGGGAGGGUCACGCGAUACUGCUCGACUCGAAGGCAGGAGAGGGAAGUGGAAUUCCCGGUGUAGUGGUGAAAUGCGUAGAUAUCAAGUGGAACACCAGUGGCGAAGGCGAGUCCCUGGACAUUUCCUGACACUGAGGCACGAAAGCUAGGGGAGCAAACAGG
rnacentral:rRNA from 1 species